rnacentral:rRNA from 1 species
UACGAAGGGGGCUAGCGUUGCUCGGAAUCACUGGGCGUAAAGGGUGCGCAGGCGGGUCUUUAAGUCAGGGGUGAAAUCCUGGAGCUCAACUCCAGAACUGCCUUUGAUACUGAAGAUCUUGAGUUCGGGAGAGGUGAGUGGAACUGCGAGUGUAGAGGUGAAAUUCGUAGAUAUUCGCAAGAACACCAGCGGCGAAGGCGGCUCACUGGCCCGAUACUGACGCUGAGGCACGAAAGCGUGGGGAGCAAACAGG